GCCAUCGCGCCCUGCCACCGCAACCGCCCUGCCCCGCCUGCAGCGGAAUCCAUUCCUCCUCCGUCCGUCGCCCCACACCCCCCAACCCACGGCUCCACUUUCCUCAACGCCACCGCCUCCGUCCAACACUCCAACCGCCACGCGACGCCUCUGCCUUCUCCCUCUCCUUCGUGGUCCUUCCCAUCCCCGCCGAUUCCCCGCCUCCUCACCGCCGUCGCCGCUCCCACUCCCCAUACCCCCACCCCAGUUUCCUCGACGCCACCGCAGCGCAUAGCCGACGGGGCCGUUCUGUCCCUGCUCCCCAGGGACGACUGUGGCGCCGCCGCCGACCGCAAGGCGCCGGAUGUCGAGGACGCAGCCUCAAGAGCAACCGAUGUUGUUGAUAAUUCAGAAGCAACAUUCAAGCAACUGAAGCAGCAGGUCUGGCAACGUGGUGAGGGUCAAGUGGAGGUGAUGGCGUGGCUGCACAAAUCCGGCAUGUCAUAA
rnacentral:lncRNA from 1 species